CCCUCCAACAACAGGUGUGUCUGUGUGGUUUUGUCUUUGGACACAUAAGAAUUAGAGGCAAAGAAACAUGGAUUUGGAGAUGUCUGGGGCCAGCCUUCUCACUGUAGGCUCAAGAUCAACAUUCAAAAUAU
ensembl:snoRNA